rnacentral:ncRNA from 1 species
CCGCAGCGCGUGGCGCAGCACGAUGUUGCGGAAACUCACGCCCUUCAGGCGUGCCGUGCGGAUGUAUUGCGCGGUCAUCACCUCGGCCAUGCUCGCCCGGGUCAUCCGGGCGAUGUAGCCCAUGCCGUAGAGCGCGAUGGUCGCCACCGGCAGGGUGAAGUUCUCGAAGGUG